rnacentral:rRNA from 1 species
UACGUAGGGUGCAAGCGUUGUCCGGAAUUAUUGGGCGUAAAGAGCUUGUAGGCGGUUUGUCGCGUCUGCUGUGAAAUUUCGGGGCUCAACCCCGAACUUGCAGUGGGUACGGGCAGACUAGAGUGUGGUAGGGGAGACUGGAAGUUCCUGGUGUAGCGGUGAAAUGCGCAGAUAUCAGGAGGAACACCGAUGGCGAAGGCAGGUCUCUGGGCCAUAACUGACGCUGAGAAGCGAAAGCAUGGGGAGC